UACGUAGGGUGCAAGCGUUGUCCGGAAUUAUUGGGCGUAAAGAGCCCGUAGGCGGUUUGUCGCGUCGACUGUGAAAACCCGAGGCUUAACCUCGGGCCUGCAUUCGAUACGGGCAGACUAGAGUUCGGUAGGGGAGUCUGGAAUUCCUGGUGUAGCGGUGAAAUGCGCAGAUAUCAGGAGGAACACCGGUGGCGAAGGCGGGACUCUGGGCCGAUACUGACGCUGAGGAGCGAAAGCGUGGGGAGCAAACAGG
rnacentral:rRNA from 1 species